UACGGGGGGGGCAAGCGUUGUUCGGAAUUACUGGGCGUAAAGGGCCAGUAGGCGGCCAACUAAGUCCGACGUGAAAUCCCAAGGCUUAACCUUGGAACUGCGUCGGAUACUGGCGGGCUUGAAUCCGGGAGAGGGAUGUGGAAUUCCAGGUGUAGCGGUGAAAUGCGUAGAUAUCUGGAGGAACACCGGUGGCGAAGGCGGCAUCCUGGACCGGUAUUGACGCUGAGGCGCGAAAGCUAGGGGAGCAAACGGG
rnacentral:rRNA from 1 species